rnacentral:rRNA from 1 species
UAGGGAAUCUUCCACAAUGGACGCAAGUCUGACGGAGCAACACCGCGUGAGUGAAGAAGGGUUUCGGCUCGUAAAGCUCUGUUGUUAAAGAAGAACACGUAUGAGAGUAACUGUUCAUACGUUGACGGUAUUUAACCAGAAAGUCACGGCUAACUACGUGCCAG